CCUACGGGUGGCAGCAGUGAGGAAUAUUGGUCAAUGGACGCGAGCCUGAACCAGCCAAGUAGCGUGAAGGAUGACUGCCCUAUGGGUUGUAAACUUCUUUUAUAUGGGAAUAAAGUGAUUCACGUGUGGCUUUUUGUAUGUACUAUAUGAAUAAGGAUCGGCUAACUCCGUGCCAGCAGCCGCGGUAAUACGGAGGAUCCGAGCGUUAUCCGGAUUUAUUGGGUUUAAAGGGAGCGUAGGUGGUUUGUUAAGUCAGUUGUGAAAGUUUGCGGCUCAACCGUAAAAUUGCAGUUGAUACUGGCAGACUGGAGUACAGUAGAGGUAGGCGGAAUUCGUGGUGUAGCGGUGAAAUGCUUAGAUAUCACGAAGAACUCCGAUUGCGAAGGCAGCUCACUGGACUGCAACUGACACUGAGGCUCGAAAGUGUGGGUAUCAAACAGGAUUAGAUACCCUUGUAGUC
rnacentral:rRNA from 1 species